rnacentral:rRNA from 1 species
UACGUAGGGAGCGAGCGUUGUCCGGAAUCAUUGGGCGUAAAGAGCAUGUAGGUGGAUCAAUUAGUCUGCUGUGAAAGUCAAAGGCUCAACCUUUUGAAAGCCGGUGGAUACUGUUGGUCUAGAGUACGGAAGAGGCGAGUGGAAUUCCUGGUGUAGCGGUGGAAUGCGCAGAUAUCAGGAGGAACACCGGUGGCGAAGGCGGGUCUCUGGGCCGAUACUGACGCUGGAGGAGCGAAAAGCGUGGGGGAGCGAACAGG